rnacentral:lncRNA from 1 species
CUCAGAGGACCCAGUCCAAGUGGGUGUGGGAUGACUGUGGGCGACACAGCCCCCAGGGCCAGGCCGGUGGAUGCCUGCUGGGCAUCAAGAUGGGCCGAUGUGCCCUCCAGGGAGGUAGACCUUCCUGGCAGCUGCAGCAGUGUCCCGAUCCUUUUGGUUUGGGGUCCCACGUGGGCCCCAAUAGCACCAUCACCUUCUCCUAGCCUUGAAGUCUCUCCAGGCCCGGGUCCGUCUCCACAGCUUCCAGGAUGCAGAUCAGCCGAGGAGUCUUCAGCAUUUCCAGCCGAGAGAUGCCAGGCCAGCCGCCAGCCCCCGAGGGAUGAGCAAACAGAGCCCGGAGACCUGGGUGCCACAGGAACCCCUCCCGCGGUCGCCCAAAGCACCCCGCUCCCGCCAAUGCGGCUGGACACGCAGGGUCUGGAAGAAGGGCGAGGCCCGGGCCUGGUAAAGAAAAACAGAGGUCAGGAUAGAGGGACCCAGGGUUGCUGCAGAAGGAGAAGUCAAGAGCACCCUUCUUGGGGGAAGAUAGUGUCUAGCCGGCAGAGGGUCAGAAGGCGGGUAACCGGGGACAUGCCCUUCAAUUUGAAAAAUCAGGUCACAGAGGCGUCGCCUUGUGUCGUGCCCUCAUGCCUGGUGCAAAGGGCCAUGGCUCUAGGUCUCUCGUUCAGGGGCUGCUGAUAGCAUAGAGGCAAGCUGUCAGCAAGCAAGGACUGACCCAGGGCCCCCAGGGAUGAGCAGAACCCCCAGGAGAACCCCCUGCCUUCUUGUGCUUUUCUCUAAGAGGGGGAGAGCCGUCUUAGAAAGAGAGAAGCCGCCCGUAGGUUUUUAGGGUGGUGAGCUGCCUAGAAGUCUCAGCGCCCCCUUCCCUGCCCCAGGGGUGCAGGCCUGUCUUUGCGCCCCACCUCUGCUUCCUCGCGCCAGAUGCCCCUCUGACCCCUGCCCCCAGGUGAAGCCAGGUGAGGGCCCUCUGUGCUGCCACCUCUGAGUCCCGCCCCGCCAGCCACUCUGCCUGGGGGCCUGCCGUCCCUCUCCCAGGCCCAGCUCCUCACCUCCAUCUGCCCCCACAGCUGCCUGUUUCCAGCUAGAACCUCCUUGAGCCUGAGACAGGAACCCUGACCCCGGCCAGCUUCAGCCGUGAAUCCCAGAGCAAAACAUUGCUGAGAAAAACGCCAAGCUUCAGCUUCAUGCGUGGUCAUCAAUCCUUUCCCCACACUGUAGCUUUCCUUUAAAAUGCUGUGUGAGAGGUGAUUAAUGCCAGGCCGCCCGUGUUAGCCUGA